GGGGAUGUAAAGGAUUUCGACAGGAUGAUUUUGUGUCUUUAUGGUCGCAUGCCGGAGAGCAGUGCUCCGUUAUCAACGAUGCAAAAAAAUAAACGCUAACAACGUUAUUAAAGCUGACUUUGCUCCAAGAGCAAUCGCUGCCUAAUUGCAGCAACAGCCACUCUAUAUGCCCAACUUGCCGGUGUAUAGGGUAAAUUAUGCAAGUAUAACAUUCAUUAUUUAAGGCGGUGAAUGCGAAAUUUUAGUCUUAAAAGUUGCUUAUCUUUAAAAUAAGCUUUGAUUUAACUUUUUGGUUUUGGUUUUUUCCAUUGUUAAAUCGAGAAAAUAAAAGCCUAAACAUGUAGAAGCCAUCAAGGCGCCAUUUUGGACGUGGGUUCGACUCCCACCAUCUCCA
rnacentral:sRNA from 1 species